GCAUGCCUUACACAUGCAAGUCGAACGGCAGCGCGGGGCAACCUGGCGGCGAGUGGCGAACGGGUGAGUAAUAUAUCGGAACGUACCCUGGAGUGGGGGAUAACGUACCGAAAGUUACGCUAAUACCGCAUACGAUCUAAGGAUGAAAGUGGGGGAUUCGCAAGAACCUCAUGCUCCUGGAGCGGCCGAUAUCUGAUUAGCUAGUUGGUAGGGUAAAAGCCUACCAAGGCAUCGAUCAGUAGCUGGUCUGAGAGGACGACCAGCCACACUGGAACUGAGACACGGUCCAGACUCCUACGGGAGGCAGCAGUGGGGAAUUUUGGACAAUGGGCGCAAGCCUGAUCCAGCAAUGCCGCGUGAGUGAAGAANGCCUUCGGGUUGUAAAGCUCUUUNGUCAGGGAAGAAACGGCCUGUUCUAAUACAGUGGGCUAAUGACGGUACCUGAAGAAUAAGCACCGGCUAACUACGUGCCAGCAGCCGCGGUAAUAC
rnacentral:rRNA from 1 species